CCUACGGGUGGCAGCAGUGAGGAAUAUUGGUCAAUGGACGAGAGUCUGAACCAGCCAAGUAGCGUGAAGGAUGAAUGCCCUAUGGGUUGUAAGCUUCUUUUAUAUGGGAAUAAAACGUUCCACGUGUGGGCUUUUGUAUGUACCAUAUGAAUAAGGAUCGGCUAACUCCGUGCCAGCAGCAGCGGUAAUACGGAGGAUCCGAGCGUUAUCCGGAUUUAUUGGGUUUAAAGGGAGCGUAGGUGGAUUGUUAAGUCAGUUGGGAAAGUUUGCGGCUCAACCGUAAAAUGGAAGUUGAAACUGGCAGUCGUGAGUACAGUAGAGGUGGGCGGAAUUCGUGGUGUAGCGGUGAAAUGCUUAGAUAUCACGAAGAACUCCGAUUGCGAAGGCAGUUCACUGGACUGCAACUGACACUGAGGCUCGAAAGUGUGGGUAUCAAACAGGAUUAGAUACCCGGGUAGUC
rnacentral:rRNA from 1 species